CUUUUAUUUAUAAUAAAAUAAAAAUCGAAGUCUUGGAACAAAUAAAGCCAGAAAUAUAAAAAAGCAGUCUUUCUCAGAUCCAGGUUAUGGCUUCUGGUUUCCCGAUGGUCUCUCCGGCUAGCUGAGCUUCUGGUCACUGCCUUCUACCUUAUAACUUGUUCCAGAUGAUUGGCCGGUUGGAUGAGGUUUCAGAUAUGCUGGUCCUUGUCUCCUGAUGUCGAUCUUGUAUGUGCUGUUGUUGCUUUUGAUGCCAGGAAUUUUUGAUGUUGAUGUUCUUCCUAAUGGGGAUGUGGGAUAGUACGUCCUGGGGAAAUAACAAGCAUUGUGGCGCCAAUUGUAUGCAACAGAAGAACUCGACGAAUAUAUUUCCUCUCAAGGUCACUUCACCAUCAAUUUCACUUUGCCAGGACCUGCUGAUCCCAUGUUUGUAAUAGCCAAGUUACACUCAAAUAGUGUUUUGGAAAGAGUUGUGCUUAGAGCUGGGAUUACUUUAGUUUCAUUAGAAUGAUUACCAGCCCGAGUUGUCUGAUUAAUUGGACAUGCUUAGCAUGUAAUCAUAAUUAAAACCUACUUCCUGUUUCCGCUUAUUAUCAAACUGCUCCUGGAUCAUCCAAAGAAAUUCUUGAUAAAUUAGUAGCCCAUAUUGCUUUUGUUGUUGUGGUAUUAAGUGAUCAUUCACAUUUCA